rnacentral:lncRNA from 1 species
UUUUUUUUUUUUUUUUUUAUAAGGCUAACUCGAUUCCUGUUCUUAAAAUAAGCGAACAGACGUUACAUAUUAGAUUCUACUGCCAUGCAUGCACAUGUUGGACUCAUCCACUUAUUUGGUCCAUGACCAAUCCAUUUUCAGGUUAUAACUUCUAGCCAAUAAGUGGUCAAACGAAUACUUUCGGCAAUCGCCGGCUUUUUAAGGUUGUUUGGGAAUUAAGUUUAUCUGCAAAAAGCCUGAGUUUCUCAGAAUUGAAAAAGAAAACUUUCGGCAAUCAUACAACACGGGGAAAUAAAUGAAUUGCCAUUUCGAUUGCAUAACCACUAGAAAGGGGCUAAUUAAAGCCACAAAUUACCCUCUCCAAAGAAACUUGGCAAGCAUGAGAAUUUUGGAAAGAUGUGGGGCAAAUAUUGUGAAUUCAUGGUGUGGCUGGGCAAGUACGGCAGAUUCCCGCAAGCGGAAAGCGACAAUAAGAUCCAUCCGGCAGCAGAACAAUAAUAAAACUGCAAAAAGAAACCCUGACCAUAAAAGCACUAAUCAAAAGAAGCACAUCCACCUAGGAGAGUCCGCGUCACCAGAGCCACUCCACCCUCCAUUAAGCAACCAAUUCAAUUACUACUUCGCAUGAAUACUUUCUAAAUUCAUUAAUAAAUCCAAAACCUCUCUCCUAAGUCCAAACUGUAAAACCAGCUUAGUCCAAUAAUAAUAAUAAUAAUAAUCCAACUCCACUUAGAUGAGUUGAUCACUGGGUGAACCAUAAUACAUAGGCUUAAUUGGAUAUUAAAAAUCCAAACCUGUGCACUUGUUUUAAAGUUUAAAAGAUAUGUAGUGGUGCAUUUUUUUAAAUUUAAUUUAGAGGUGGAUCCUCUUCUUUUAACUUUUCUCAGCCGAGUUGAUUUGACACCGAAAAAAAAAUUAUAAUCUAUUUAUUUUACGGGUAGCAAUGAUUAUAACACUAGUUGCUUCAAGAAAUGUUUUCAGCUUUAUGAUGCUUCCAAUAAAACACAAACCUAACGGUCUAUCUGGAUGCGUUAGCAGUUUUUGGUUAUUUAUUUCUCUCUACUCACAUUUCUCUGUUUAAUAACGUCUUGUGGGCAGAAGAAUACUUAAAUAUCUAUAAGGAUCGAAAUGUUCAGUUAUUGAUGUGAUUUGGGUUGAGGAAAUGGGGGAGAUUGGAGAAAUCUAGGGCUUUGAGAGGGCCCUUUUCAUUCUGGAAGAAAAAGGGCCCUUUGCAAAGUUUCGGGAGUUUAGAUAGAGAGAAGAAAUGAAGGAGUUGAUAGGGAGUCCGGGGACUGUUUGUGGGUUGUUAUUAAGGAUAGGGCAAUGUGUAUUUGGAGCUGCAUCCAUUGAGUUAUGGUCUCUGCUUAUGGGUUUUCCAACUACACUGCGUUCUGGUAUGGAUUCUUCCUUCGCAUUGAGUUUUCAGAAUGUGGUAUUUUCAUGCUUACUGGCUUUAGUUGAUAGGAUCGGGCCACUUGUUUUCUACUUCCUCCUUAUCGAAACAAAUUGUGCGCUUUGGAUUUUGUACUUGCCUUGAUCUUUGCUUUCCUCUGGUAUCAGAUCUUCUUGGGCAAAGGGAUUUUAUAGUUCAGCCUUUUCUCUAUAAAAUGUUGACACGAGUUUAUUUGGUGCCCAAUUUUCAUGCACCAUUGUUUCUGGGUGUUUUGGUAUCAAGUUUGCUGCUAUUUUCAGAUGAAGUAAAGUAUUUGUUCUAAUUUCUGUUGGAAUUGAAAAUGCGCUACGACAGCUCACUAAAUCACUUCUGGACAUUUUGGAGCUGACCAUAUUCGCUGCACCAUUUUGAAGAUUGGAUGUGCGGACUUUUUUUUUUUUUCUAGUUUAUAAACUUACCUUAUUUAUCCCUUUACCUUAACAGACAAGAUGUGCAAUUGGAUGAGUUAAAUUGAGACAUCAGUUGAUAAUCAAAAGUUAAACAUCUAACCUAGAAAGAAAAGUUACUAUUUGGAGGACGUCAUCAAUUUGAAGAGGCAUAGAAUGUCGAGCAAUGAAAAUUGUAUUGGUGCAGCAUCUGUGAUAACUGAUUCUUUAUAACACAACAAAGAAAUCCUCCUGUAAGUGGGGUGCUUUUCGAUCGAAUAUAUCCAAGUGCUAAUAAUGUAAUUCGGUGGUUGUUUAUCCUAUACUUAGAAGAGAAAGUAGUCUAGUCUAAGGACUCUUGAUUUUUUCUUAUCUGCGCAUGCCUGUUAUUGUUGCCUUCCACACCCACAUAUAUUUGCGGAUAUAGGUUUCCUUGAUUUGGCUUUUGAAAAAGAUACUACGACUGUUAUUCACUUUGGUAAAUUAUGACUUCUGAUUUCAGCUAUUUGAUUGCAUCGAUGGGCUUCAAGUUUGUGGAGCCUUGGACUAGCAUGUCUUGAUGUCUAUGCUUUGAGGAUAAAGAGAGACCUUCGAAAUCCUGUUUUAGUAAGCCUGUUCGUUGUUGGCGAUUGGGUACCUUACAAAUCCCUCAAUCUGUCUCUUUUACAUGAAUAAUUUGCUUAUCUGGCACUGGUGAGUUAGCCUGUUACCAUGGCUGGGCUUUGAUUGUGAGAGAGAGAACAAUAAUUGCAGUAAACUCCAGUUUUAUUCAACUUUCUUGUUUAGCACUCUUCUAACUCCCAUUUCGCCCUUUGCAUGCAUAAUUUUUGGGAUCAUGUUUAUUACGGCAACACCCAGUACAUGGAUAUGACUCUCAAUACGAAGUAAAAUUGCUGAUCUUAACCAUCCUGCGGCAAGAGGCGUAUUUAGCAUGAUGUUCUUUAUAUGUGAGAUUUAGGUCUCAUAACAUUUUCAAGCUAUAGUUUUGAAUAUUGUUUCUCAUCAUUGUGUUUUCUGUCCUUUUGUGCCUAGCUUUGUUCAGUAACUUCCAAGUCAGAGAACUUUUUUCAACACAAUAUUCAGUUUUGUCAGCACUAGAGCUCUUAUACAACUUCCUUUUCUGUCAUAUCUCACUAGACUUGAAGUCUAUUAAUUACAUCUUUCUGUUUAUCCUUAGUAACUGUAAGCGUUCCAUGUUGAUCUAUGGCUGCGUGCUUAAUUUUGCUGAAAUUGAUACGGAAGACAGUUUUACGCUUACAUGUUUUGCCAGUGCUAAGUUUUGAAAGGCUACUAUUCCAUGUAUCAAAAAGACAUGCGUUUGUCUUUGCUCCCAUAUUGAAAUCAACUUCACGCAAAUAAAGUGUUCUUAUCCUAUUUGGUCUUUUAUAUCUUUCUUUGUUUCUUUCAUUAUAUUCUUGUUGGUUUCUUUCUUAUAUAUUUUCUGAUUGGGGGAUAAGUGAUGCAAUGCAGGUGACAGCUACUCUAUCACUUGCAGCAGCAUGCUCAUCAGCUGGGAUAGCAGUUUUGUAUGCCAAAGACUUGAAAUACUGUAAGGGCCCAAUGCAACCUUCCUGUAGCAAAUUUGAACUCUCCAUUGUUCUGUCUUUCAUCACUUGGUGUCUGAUCGCUGUAUCUUCUCAUGUAAUGUUCUGGAUACUAGCCUCAGUUUAGGUGCUUGAAGCUCUUUUCACUUUGUCUACUUGGCUCAUCUUAAAAAUCAUCUUUCACUUCUAUAUUGUGACUGCAUUUUCUGUGAGAGGAAAAACUAUCCUUCAUUUGAUCCAUAUUGGUUGGUAGCUUUCUUCAUUUUUGUUACAAUAACUGGGCUCUUUUGGCCUACACCGGGUAAUAUUUGUUUUCCAGCAGGGGAAGAGCUUGUCCUGAAAUUUUGAUGUUUCUUCUCCCCAGUUUUUCCAGGAGGGGCACUGUAAAAAUAUUCUUCCCUCCUGGAGGUUGAGAAGAUCAAUAGGUGCCAUUUUUCUUUGCUUUAUUAACGUGCAAUUACAGACGCGGACAUAACUGGAGCGAAAGGUCGUAACUUUGUGAUGAAAUGAUUAAUGACGAAUGAACAGAUUAGACAAAACUUCUUGACCAAUUUGUGUCUGGUAGGUAUACAAGGCAGACGUUUUAAAUUUCACACGCACAUUUUUCCCUGAUCAUAAACACACAAAGCCAGCAGUUACCUGGCCGUUUACUCACAAAUGAGGAAAUAAAAAUCCAGGGAAAGGGGCAAAAUCGAAAAAGAAAUGCAGAGAAAGCUACAAAACACAAAGCACAAGGAAGGACCAAAGCAAUCCUAGGAAUGAAUUCUGGCUAGGGCUUGGACAGGUAAAUUGCUCUGCUUUUGAAUCAUUAGCGUCGAGAAUACCUAUGACAUACUCAAUUUCCUCGGCAACUUCUCUCAUUGAAGGUCGGUUUUGCCUGCGCUCAUCUAAGCAUGCCGCUACUAAAUUAGCAACUGCUUGCAUGGUCUCCAGCUCCACUUUGCUAGCCCAUUCUUUAAGGGUUGGAUCAAUGGUGUCCAUCAGUUUAUCUUCACCCAAAAUCUUUUUCACGUAAACCACCAGGUUCACCAGUUUAUCAGUCAGUUGGAGAUUGAUGCAAUAUUCAGGAUCGAGAUAGCCUAGAGUGCCUUGAGCAGAGGUAUUGAUGUGGGUAUACUCGCUUUCGUUUGACUCCACCAGUCUAGAAAGCCCAAAAUCAGUCACCUUGGCAUCUAGCCUUUCAUCCAGCAAAAUAUUGCCGGAUUGCACGUCUCGGUGAUAUAUCGGGGGAAUAGCGGAAGAAUGUAGGUAUGCAAGACCAUCGGCGGUCUGGUAGGCGAUAAUGAGGCGGCGCAGCCAGUUGUGGAGACGAAAUCCGUGAAGGCGGUCGAAGAGCGUCCCGUUCGGGACGUAUUCAUAUACCAGCAGAGGUUGCUCAAGCUCAACACAGCAUCCGAGUAACCUAACCAGACUUCGAUGGUUCACCUGGCAAAGAAUUCGAACCUCGUUCAGCAACUGAACGAUGCCCUUCAUGUUUCCGGGCUUGGCACGCUUGACUGCAGCUAUUGUUCCGUCGUCGAGGGUGCCUCUGAAAACUUCACCGAAGCCUCCAUAACCAAGUAGAUUGUCCUUGGAAAAGUUGUUUGUUGCUCUCUUUAUCUCCUUGCCUGUGAAGAUUUUUGCCGACCUCCCAUUACUUUUGGCAUUUAAGAUUUCUUCGCGUUCCUUCACUAAAAUUUUUUUAGCUCGUCUCUUUAAAAGUUGACGUCUUUCAUAUGCUACGAUUCCACAUAAGAUGAGUUGCAGGAUUGCACCAAGAGCGGCUGAAACAACAAUAAACACACGAGAGAUGGUUUAUUGCUUGAAAAUUUGCUGCAGUAUAUACUUGAAACAGCACUAGCAAAGUACCUCCAAUUGUUGGCAUUUUCUUCUUCCGAACUUCACAAUUUUUUUCGUGCCUGCACCCUGCACAGAAAGAGUCGUACGUGACGGUGUUAGUAGCAGAGCGACACUGGGAACAACUGAAAUUUGUUGCCUCUGGUAUUUGGAAAUAAAGCUUUUCAUUGACUUCUUUAUCUUUCCGGGAUCCAUUAACCAUUUCCAAAAGAUUCUUAAUAUGCAUUACAGAAUUUAAAUACAUAAUUUAGCAUAAACCAUUUAGGUACAUAUUGAUAAGAAUUUAACGCUCCUCUUACUUCUAGAGAUUUGCUCUGGAGGAGGACUACCGUCUAACUCCUUUCUUUUUUUUUUUUGGGUGAGGAGGCUGGGAAGGGGAGGGGGGGCGACAUAUUAGAGUGGCCGCAGGGCAUGGUUAAAAAAUAAUAUAUAUAUAUAUAUAUUCUGAAAGAUUGCUAAAUGAAUUGGCAAAAUUAGAAAAGAAAAACUGUGCUACUAACUUUCACAAUAUCCGGAAGAAGAGUCCCAAUACCGGCCGGUCGUGCAAACACUCCUCUUCUGACUGACAUUUGCCCGGUCAGGCGCCAAACACCUGGAAUAAGGCAACUGGACACAAUCAACAUCAGAUUUGCAAGGUGGUUCUUUUGGGGUCACCCACAUUAGCUCCAUCCCAGGCGCUGGCCAGUCGGCAACAGGCAAAGAAGGGUCCAAAUUUACAAAGCUCUGGUACGCCAAGCAUCCACCUUCAUGAACUCUAACGAAGUGUGCAGUUUGUGAUCCCCUGUGUGUGAAUGAGCAACAUAAUCUCGUAUCAGGGAGAUUUCAAGGAGCCAUUGCUCGAACGGUACUAACGUAGUUGUUGUGACAAAUGCUGGAAUCAGAACAAUUUAGCUGGACUUGCAAGUGCAACAUAUUGUCGGUGCAGUUCAGCAACAAAACAGUAUUGCUGCUUGUAAUGUUGAAAGGAAGUGCGUCGCCAAGGUGAAUUCCUUCACUAUUGAGAUCAGUCGAUAAACAUGUACUUGGGAUAAAUGAUGGUGGCCGGAUAAUCAUUCUCUGAUUUUGUGGAUCGAUGGAUGUGACCAUGUAUGCUGACCCAUUAAGACCGUCUACCCACAAUUUGCCACCGAUGCACCUGACUGCGUAGGCUUGGUCGCCGCAGUUUGGUCCGGUGCUUAGAGGGUAGGGCACUGGAGUCUGCCCACAAUUGCCGCAAUGUAGAGCACCAUUGCCAACCUAACGCAAGAUGAUAGUAAUAGUAACAAUAUUACUAUCCUGGCAAAUAACAAUGGGCUACCAGAACGUUUCCCAUUGGAUGAGAGAACAUGGGAAAACAGAGCAGCUACUGCAUGCAUGUGAAUUGGGUGAUGACAUUCGUACCAUACUAGGCCGUUUAAUGCUCUUGAGAAAGUUUUACUCGUUCAUAUAUGCAUGCAUAAACCUGGUACAGAUGGGCAAUAAUCCUCGUAUCAAACAGACAAUAGAGCCGGUACAGUAUACAUUUGAUUGUGCAUUCCAACGUUCUCGAACCGUGAUGGCGAGCGAAUGCAAAUACUACUAAACAGUCUGUCCAUCUAGAGAUUGCAUGUUCGAUUUUGUCCACUUCCUUGAUAGAAACCUUGCCUAGGUUUUGAAGAUACUACUGGUGUACUACGGUUUCUGGGGACGAUUUAUGUGCUCAGGAAAACGUCUAGUACGAUUACGGGUUGUCUGGACAAAAUCCGGUCCCCGCUUGAGAUAUGCCAUUUGAUGGCAAAGACAUGAUGCAUGGCCUUUUGCUCUUUUUACGGAAUGAAAAUAUAUUAAAUCGUGCAAGAACAGAGCGACGUCUUGGAUGUUGGAAGCGAAAAAGUAACAUAAAACAAAAAUGAAAAUUUUUAAUAAGGCUCCCAAUUUGUAGAUUACUUUCUUCUUUUUUUUUUCUUUCGGGAUGUUGUUUGUUGAGGAGGGGGGGUGGCGGGAAGGGAAUGGCAUUUCAGCCGCAGGAAUUGUUUUCUAGUCUGGGAAUGAUUUUGCCUAGCGGACAACGCCUAAAUUGCGGCAGGGAUGGUUUGUAGUUGGGAGUUACGGGAAGCGGAGCCACCCAACUUUCCAAUGGUCUGGUUUCUAAAGCUCUGGUCUCCGGUGAAAGGGUUUCCUGUGCGCCAUCCCGAAACGUUGUACACCUGUCUAAUUCCCGAUGGAAGCCGUAGCACUUCAACAGUGCUCAUCUUUCGAUGCGUUGGAAAUGGGGAAAAAAUGGGCAGGAACUAAAACUAAAAGGCGUCUCCCCAAUAUAAUCUCUCAUGAAAUCGGAAUUGUCAAUGGAUCUGUUUGAUUACGAGUUUUAAAACCCAAGAAAAACAAAUUUUUUUAAUAAGUACUGUACCCUAGAAAAAAAGAAAAGAAAAGAUACAGACAAACCUCCAUCCCAAAUAUAAUUACAACGAGUGUGAAUACACGUGCUACGUACGGUAUUGAUAUUAUUAAAAAAAUAAAAAUAAAAGGGUGAAUUAAAAAAAUUAAAAAAUUGUAUCAAUGCAAUUAAAAUAUAGUGUCUGUCUAACAAUAAUUUGAAAUAUGAUAAAAUGUGUAUAUUAUUCAAAAAUUAUAUUUUUUCAUAUGAUAGAUCCUGAAAAAAUAAUAAAAAUUUAUAUUAAAAAAUGAAUGAUAUAUGAAUAAAAAUAAAUGUAAUUAAAUGUUGUUAAAAUGAAAUACUUACAAAUAUUAUGCAUUUGAUUUGAUAAUCUUGCAUGAAGGUGCGAACACUCUUCACAGCAAUCAACUUUUAGUACGAAAAUCAAAAUUGAUGAUUUAAUUAAUUCUGUUAAAUUUGUGGAAUGUAUAGUACAAAUGAAAAUGCACGAUCUUCGCAUGAAUUGAUUCGUUGGUUGAACAACCUAUCACCGUUGUUCUGAAAAUCAAAUACGUACGAAAUUCAAAAUUAGUGUAUUUUUUUACAUAAUUUAUGAAUAGCAUUAUAAAAAAUAAAUAUAUAUCAAGAAAUUCUACUUUCCUUUGUAAUUUUUUGAGAUAAAAAGCAUCACAACCAAAUAUGAAUCGUUCAUGUCUGCCCUGUAGAUUAAGAUGCAUGUUAUCACUGGAAUUUUUAAUUUGUAUGUUAACAUUAUACCUGUUUGACAAAUAAAAUAUUAUAUAUAAUAAAAAAAUUUGUUGAAAUUAAAGGUACAUGAAAUUAAUUACCUAACAACAGUGUCGACCACGUCGUUACAAUGCAUACACACUGUUUUUGAAAAAUAGUCUUCAUAUAGUUGUCCACAAUUUUUGCAUAGCUCAUAUAAUAUGUUUUCUAUGUUAAUGUUCUAAAUGUAAGUAAGUAUUCAAAAUAUUUAAUCUAGUAAGAAUGAAAGAAGAUAUAUGUUAUGAUUAUAAAUUUAAAAAAUUUGUGCAGUAAUUAAAUUAAAUAGAGUAAGCUUACUGUAUACAUGAUUGUAUAUUCGAAUAUUCAUAUUCUCUUUGAAUUUCUAUCAACAAUGCUUGUGAUGUUGUAAAAUUGCUUGACCUCAACCACGUAACUAACUUUCGAGAUGUAUUUUCAAAAUCCACAAUUUUUUGAAAUAAUGUUGAUAAGAGUAUGAAAUAACAUUAAAAAUUUGAUGUAGUGUUACUGAUGGAACUCACCAACUGCGCAGAUUUCGAGCAAAAUCUAAAUUAUGAUUGAUAUACAAUUUGCUAGAUCCAAUUGUACAAAAUGAUGGUCCUCUGUAGUAUGGUUAUAUUCGCUAAAACCUAUUCAAAUUAUAUAGAGUAUAAGAAAAAAAACAUUUGAUUUACCUCUGAAAUUUCGUACGCAAAUACCACAUGCUAGCAAAAUAUUUUUAUAACAGAUUGAUAUUAUAGGAUUUGUAGUAUAUUUAAUAACUUUAUACUCAAAUCACUGAUGAGGCAAAGUUUGCUUAAAUAAACUUUACAGUGUCCUAAUUUCUUGCAAAAAAAAAAUGCUAAAUAGUCCUAAUUGUCAUCACAAGUUACGGCAACGUGCCAGUGGCAUCUAGGCCUAAUUUUUUUUUUGGUCAAAAUCUAAUCCUAAUUGGUUCUGCUGUUUCUUGAUCAUAUUGUAUACUUCUGAAUUAAAAUUGUAUUAAAAUAGUAUAUGAAUAAGCAUUUUAUUUAAUUAAGGAGUAAAAAAGAUUUAAAAUAUAAAUAAUACUAUAAACCGUUUAUAAAGUAGAUUAUAGGAAAGUUUUAAAUUUUAAAUUUGACUGGUGAUAGGGUUGGUUAUAACCCACUACUAUUUAUGUAUUAAAAUAAAUACAAAAAAUCUAGACAAAAAUCUAUGACCUACUACUUGUUCUGUUAUUGGGAUUUUUUUUAGAAUUAAAUAUAGUAAAUCCCUUAAUUUUACAUUGCACUUUACCUCCUCAACUUUACAUUUAGUUGCAUAUUUGUGACUUUUUUUGAAACGUGAUUGUAAUUUGCAAAGCUCAUUUGUAGGGGUAGUUAUAGAGUUAGUGUGGUGACAAAUAUUUGUUAAUUAUAAAAAUGUAAUAUUAUUAAAAUAAAUAGUAUACGAAUUAGCAUUUGUCUUUGAUUAAGAAGUAAAAAGAAUUUAAAGUAUAAAUAAUAAAUUAGAAACGGUUUAUGAAGUAGAUAGUGGGAAUAUUUUAAAUUUUAAAUUUGAUUAGUGAUAGGGUUGGUUAUAACCCACUACUUUUUAUGUAUUAAAAUAAAUACAAAAAUUUAGAAAAAAAAAUGAGAAGUUUCGAAACCAUUGAGAGAAUCUCUGCUAAAAACUCUUUCUGCAAUACAUAUAGAUAUAGAUGCUAAACUUUUUGUGUUAGGAUUAAGGAUAAAUGACGUAAAAAAUGUAAAUACUCGCUGAUUAAGUGAUUCUUCUCUAAAUAUUUUCUUAUUUUACUUGAGCAGUGGUCUUUCCUCAGUGUGUGUGUGUGUUGUUUUUGUUUUUUCUCUUUGUUCCUUGGCUUUGUGAUAGGUGACAGUUGACACCUUUUUCUUUGGACUGCAACUCUGCAAGUGGAUGGAACUUACAUGAGACCCACAGGCCUACAUGGAAUUCUGUAACAGGCCUUAGUGUAUUAAAUAGACUGACUUAACUAAGGAGUCCUAUUCUUGGGGUCCUUAAGAAGCUAAACUCACAGCUUAAUAGAAUUCAAAACACAAUUGCUUCAGCCUAUCCCAAGAAUAAACCCAUAAAGCUGCAGCUAUUUAUUUUGGAUCCAUAUAGAGCCACCAUCUUUGCGUUUUUGGGCCGAAAAAUGGCUCUUACAAUCUUCCUUCUUUUUUUUUUUUUGAUAAAAUGGCUCUUACAAUUUUAGGAUAUUUUUGAUAAAAUUAAAAUUUAAAAUAUGAAAUUUGAAUCUAUUAAAUUAUUGAAUUGUUAUAUAAUAAAUUGGAUACAUUUCAGUGUAUAUCACAUUUAGUGAUAAGUGAACAGUUUAUCACUUAAUUUUUGAAGUAAGUUUUGUCUAGAAAAUUCAGUGCCACUUAAUUAAUUCAGAUGCUAUAUUUUUUGUUAUCAAACACGUCUAAAUAUAUUAAGAUCUGAAUUUAUUAAGUUUAAGUGGCGCAUUGAAUUAUCAGACGGGACUUUAAUAUUGUUCACCCUAUGAUUUUUGUGACAACUAUAACCUCAACUUUAUAAUAUUUUUCGAUAGUGUUGCAAAUGAAACUACACAUGACAUGGUAAAAAAAAUAGAGAAUGAAAUAUAUAUUGAUAUAGAAUGUUAAAUGAAGGACGGAAAGACAUUUUGUGCGUUGAUUUUGUCAGUUGCGGCGACCCUUACCCUUAUUUCAGAAGCAAAUCCCACGGAACACUAAAUUUCUGAUGUUUUUGUAUAUCAACAAUAUAUAUGAAGAAAUUCGGAUGCAGGGACAUUUUUGUGCCUUUCAUUGGCAAAAAUGGAACAGAAGUGGAAAUGAUGCGGGAGAAAGCUUUUCUGAAAGAACCAGUUCAUCAUUUUUAAUGUGGUUGGACCUUGAAAGUGCCGCUAGAAAACUUCUCAAACUCCGGUUGGAUUGUGGUAUAACUGUCUUUCCCAGACUAAACGUUUCGUGGGCAACCAACAGCUUGGCCCUUUAGCCGAAGGAUACUAUAGCAAGUACAAAUUUCAUUUAUAUUACACAGAAGCAUAACCAGUCUGUACACUUCCAGAUUUCACCCAUUAACGCUACAACACGAAUGUGUGGUCCCUUGGGGUUAUCCACACAAUACGCCCAAGAACCAGAGAAUCAUGAAAAAAGAGAAAGGAAACAAAUAGCAAAGAUCUUUCACACGCAAUUAAUCUAGUUAUGUGGAUCACCUCAACCCACCAUGCCCGACUACUUUUACAUGCCCUGGAUUUUCCUGUGCAAAUAAUAUAGUGAGCGCCAUAUUUUUGUUUAUAGAUAUUCACUUGACGGCACGGCGGGGAGUCAGAUGACAGCCAGGUGAUUGAACAGCGGCGGAGAGCAUUCUUUUGGUGGCAGAGGAAGAAGGCGAUGACGCGGAGGCGGGGAAGGCACAGUCUGGUCUGAAAAGCUGAAUAUCAGGCAUUUGGAAGCGGCCCGAAUCACCUGGCAAUCUCAUGUAGGAAGCAGAAGGCGAUUCAUUCGUCAUGAUCCCAUCAUCCCUUGUUGGCCAUUCUUGUACUGCAUUAUAGCUCUGUAUACUAGUGGAAUUAAGCCUCCAUAUCGUAAUUAAUGUCGUCUAAGUUGAGAGGCGGGUAGGUAGGGUGUGGAGAGAUUUCAGAUUUCUUGGUGUUAUGUUGAUUUGCAAAUUACAAUGGGAAAGGAUUAAGGGAAUGGAAUGGUUGAUUGAAAUUUAAAUGAGAGACUUGGGUGUGAUGACGUGGCGUAAUGGGUCGGAGCCUUAGCUGUUUAGUUUUAGUCUAAGCCAAGCUGACAGAUGGCAAUUUUCAUGAGUGGGAUAAGGAUCGUCACGAAUUGAAUCAUCCAGGCUUACAAGGCAAACCUGCACGAAAACCACACUUGAAAGCUCCAUUCAAACUACAUUCCAUUACAUCUCACCAAAUCCCAAAACAAAUAUUAUUAUCUAGUAAUACGCUGCCGUAUUAUCUUCGGAUUUUUAAUCAUUUUCA